rnacentral:lncRNA from 1 species
UCCGGCCCCCGAUUCCUCUUUUAUAGCAUGAGGAGGCCACCGGGGUUACAGGUGAGACCAAGUGUGGAGAGCAGUAAAAAGAUAAACAUGGCUAGUAAAAAGAAUAACGAGAAGGGGGUACAAGUCCCCAGGUCGCCGGUGUCCACACCAGCCUUCGGCUUCUACCGGUGCGUUAGCCGGAAGGGGGUGGCGGCCGCUGCAUCCUAUCGGCGGCCUCCUCGGCAACUAUAGCCGCCGGACACGAUGAUGGCAUUUUGUCGUGACCCCCGUGUCCGCUGGGGGAGGCGGCGGAUCUUGCCGUCCUGCUGAUGGCCUGUGCAGAGCGUACGUCGCAUCCCUGCCACCGGGCGCGCGGGGCACGAGAGCAGGCGAGGCUUCUUCCUGCCCUAGGAGGUGCAGCUCAUGAGUGCCUUGUGCCCAAUCGGAGAAGGUCGCAGCCAC